AAAUUUGAAUAACAAUAACGUUAGUAGGGGUGUACAUAUCCACUCUGGAUUUAACCAUGCAUGUAAUGGGUAUUCCCCGUCCUUGUACAGAAUUCACCCUUGAAAACGUUUUCUGGGACAUCAUUAACUGCAAUAGAGAAAACAACAAAAACUUAAAAGUUCAUCUAUGGAGGACUGGCACUUUGGAGUUAUCCUUAUAAUUGUUGUUAAGCUUUUACUGAUCACAUGUUGCUGCAUGGUGUGUGCUCGUAGAAAGAGAAAUGCGAACAAUAUGUCUGAAAUUGUCCAACCUGUUCCGAUUCGUCAGUGUGUUCCUGUAAUUGUAAAUACACAAGAUAACGAUAGGCUAUCGAUUGUAAGGAAUGAGGAGGUACCAGAGCACCACGUAACUGUCCCUGUUUCUGCAUAUGAGGCACCCCCUCCUGUGUAUGGGGCCGACUUCUACCUUUCUCCGAACCACAGCCGGCCAAUUUAGAGAUCAAUGCAAACGCUGUUCAACCAUUACAAAUUUAAGAGACACCAUGACUGCGAUUUUUGUAUGAACGUAUCUUUAUGUUGUAUAAAUGUAUUACUCUUUUA